rfam:Triticum aestivum genome assembly, contig: Triticum_aestivum_CS42_TGACv1_scaffold_131923_2BL
GGUACACUCCCUCUGUUCGGAAUUACUCGUCUAAGAAGUGGAUGUAUCUAGAUGUAUUUUAGUUGUAGAUACAUUUAUUUUUAUUCAUUUUUGUGGCAACUAAUUCCGAACGGAGGGAGUACAUA